rnacentral:lncRNA from 1 species
UACCCAGAGCCUCAGACCUAGUUUCUCGUACACAAAACACAAUACCUAAUCCACAGCCGCCGCUCCGCCUCCGGCCCUCCGUGACUCCGCCUCCGGCCCUCCGCGACUCCGCCUCUCCCUCAGGCCUUAUCCUGCAGCCGCCGACUUCAAGAAUCAAAGAUUCAAAGGUACCCAAUCUAAUUCGUAUCUAUAUUUUCUAAUAUUCAAAUAAUCUAAUCCGUAUCUAUAUCUGAUUACCUUCUUAAAUCUGUUAAUUUGAUACCUAAUAUGUUCGAUUCUUCUUCAGUCUCAACCCUAAUUACACGCUCCAGUCUCUCCCCGGUCAGUACUCAGCAGUCACUUGCAGCCCUGUUGACUUCAAGAAUCAAAUCAAAGAUUCAAAGGUAUUAACUAAUUUGUAUCUAAUAUUCUAAUCCGUAUCUAAUCGACUACUCUAUAUCUUCUGAUUUGCCUACUUUGUGUUUAAAUUUCAUACCCAAUCUGUUAGAUUCAACUUUGUGGUUAAUAGCCUUGUAAUUUAACAAUCACUUGUUGCUGCAGUUGGAGCUAUGUCACAAUCUCAACCAUUGCAACCGGAGGUAGAGAUGAAGGAUUCCAA